CAAACGAUCUCGGCAACGGAUAUCUCGGCUUUCGCAUCGAUGAAGAACGAGCGAAAUGCGAUACUUGGUGUGAAUUGCAGAAUCCCGUGAACCAUCGAGUCUUUGAACGCAAGUUGCGCCCGAAGCCAUCAGGCCUAGGGCACGUCUGCCUGGGCGUCACG
rnacentral:rRNA from 1 species